CAUCUUUCAGACGCUUAUUGCAAGCGAUGCGGUGAGAGGUAGUGAUUGAAAUGGAGAUUGGAUCAUUUGGUUAAUUUACAUGUUGUUUAUGAACUUAAAUAUUAUUAGAGAUCAGCCAUUUAGGAACUUCAAGGCAAUCUACGUAUUCUACUUUGUACCUUUUUUAGAAAACCGGUCACCUACAGUGUUUUUGGCCCCAUUGCUACAUGGUAAUUAUGUUUUCAAAUCAUUCACCUUCGCGGCUGAGACAUCUUCAAAGCUUCGGCGUUUUGUUGAAGAUGUCUCCGAUUAUAAGCUACUUUCCCGGUUGCAGUGACUAGAAACUUAUCCUAAAUUCCCUAAAUCCAUGAGCUUUGAAAUAGGCCACAAAUAUUUUUCAUCACAAGAAGUUCAUAGUUCAAGAGGAUCUACAGUAGUUUUGGACUUGCAUUUGAUCAGCUUUGGAAUUGGAUCACCUUUAGAAUCAGCUUUGGGAUUACAUUGAGAGCCCUCAGCAAAAUAAGCCAUUGUUCAAGUUAUAGCACAAAAUUUGUAGAUCCAUGAUUCUUCUCAAACACCUAGACACUCUGGAAUAUUUGGCAGAAUGGGGACAAGUGUAAAAAUAUUUCAAAUGUGAGAUGUGUGGAAAAGGCUUACAGAAUGUGCAGGCCUGUAACACAGAUUUUGAACUUGGAGCUUCUCAGGUUGGCUAUUUCAAGGCAGUAAUAACUAGGCUCUUCUGUUCUUUUCAACAACAAGAUGGGAUAAAUUUAUUGAUUAAAAUUAAGGAACCCAAAGAUUCCUUACAGCUGGUGAUGUUAGUAUGAUCUUCAAGCAUCCAUCUUCAUGUAUUCAAAAACCAACAGCCCUUUGGUUAGGGAAACAGAUGUUUAGUCUAAUUCUUUGAUCUAGCACUUGGGAAUCACAAUUAAUGAUUCAAUGGUGAUCAAUUUGAGAAUUAAGGGAAAAGAAUAUUUGAAAAAGAAAUUUUGAUUUUUGCAUAAAGGAUGUAUUUCUUUUGUUGAGAGGUGUUCUGUUGUAAUUCAGAGAUGCCAGUCGGUUGCGUUGAUAAAUCUUCAAUUAUUUCGCUAUCCAGGUGGAAACUCCGUCUUGUAGAUUCUUAUUACACGGUGAACUGAGGAUUCUCCAACGUCAUUGAAGAUGUCACACCUGUAAAACACUGCUGGAAUAAAAACGGAUACUUCGGGACAAUGGUAAGACUAAAUGCGAUGAAAAAAUCGUCUUCUCACCGUAAGUCAGCCGUAAGUCUUUAGCACAUUGGAAAUCUGAGUUGUUAAGGCCACGAUUAUCAAGGAAUUCGGUAUACAAUAAAAAGUCAUAGCAAAAGUGACUAUCGUCCGUCGCCUUGUUUUCCGAUCCGAACUUAAGAGUUGUCACAGUGAAAUCUUUUGCAUCAAGAAAAACGGGUUGACUUAUAUGAAAGGAGUCCGUUUUUAUAUUGACUUUGUUAAAAGCUUGCAAUAGGUACUUACGGAGUUCUCGUGUAAAGUUUUUGCUUUGAUGAACUUCUAUGCGUUUUCAGAAGCUCCUUUCAGAAUUUUUACGGGAAAAAGCCGGAUGAUGAAUUUAAAUGUCAUAUGAAUCAAAAUAGUGGAUUUGAAAAGGUUUCUGCUUGAGGCAAGUUACCGAAAAAAUAAUAAUGAUCGGAAGAACGAAACCGAAUUUCCAUUCUCUAGUCGCAUUCCCGUGUAAUUACGGUAUUAAUAAUGUAAAGAAUUGUAGCGCGUAUCUGGGCUCCCUUUUCUGUAUCCCCUUUUCCCCUUGACUCAUAAUAAACCAGUAGGGGGUCAUGCUCCUACUGUAGGUGAGAUGGCUCUGAUCAGAAAGAGGACGUGAGGGUCCUCUUAGUUCGAUGAUAUGGUAAUGGAGGGCUAUGUCGCUACUCCAAAAUCCGAAUUUAAGGUUAAUCGCUCCUGUAAAAAUGUUCCGUUUCUUUAGCUCUUCUUCCGGCUUCUCUUAGCCACGUACCGGGUAAUCUCUCUGGUUGGUCAAUUGAGGCAGUAUCUUCCCCUGCCUUGGUUGACGGCAACUUUUGAAACGCAUGUAUUGCUGUUUAAAAGUUGCAAAAUCAUGUGGAGAAUUGUAAUUUUAUUUAUUUUUAUUUUAUUGUUUUUCAAAUAAUUCUUUGUCUUGUGUUACGAUCUCCACACAAGUGCUUUAUGCGUUAACCUUUGAUAUUCUGUGUUGGACUUAAUGAAAUCGCUACUGCUUCAAGACAUGUUAAUUACUGGAUGUAAGAAAAAGCUCAGUUUCACAGUAAGAAGAAUUUUAACUUGCGAAUCGAUCCCUAAAUUUUCAGCGUGGUAUGCCGAUGCUCAACCAUAGAAUCCUGUUACAUUUCGCGUGGCUUCGGACUGAGGAUGGCUGCUGAAACGAACGUCUCUCUUCUUGAAAUUUCACCACCGAUUCCGUGUGUUUUGAGCUAAAUCUUGUGAAUUCAAUCAAUGCAGAGUUAUUCAAGGAGGACCAUGGUUUGGCUUCGCUAGCACGUUUUUCAUCUCUGUUAGUCUUAUAGAUCCAUUUUGUACCAAAGGUGAUACGUGAAAAAAGUAGUUCUUUAUAAUCUAUUUCCCUAUCUAAAUCUCUUGGAUUCUUGGAGGUGUCAUCAGGUGAUGUUAGAAUUUGUUGUUAAUAGUUUAAGGUUUUGUAAUUGUGCUUUUAGGUCUUCGGAAUGUACUGAUGUACUAUGGUGGCCACAAAAUCACUCAGUGACUUGGUUCAAUCCAGGAUUUAGUUUUUUCAAAAGUGGUAUACAGUUUUAAUUUGCAGAGAUCCUGGAGGUAUCUGAUGUGUUGCAUAGCGUUGGAGUCGCUUGGUGAGAGAAAGGAAUGAAACAAAUGUUAUGUUGUCAGUGUAAAUAAAACAUAUCCAGUAUGA